rnacentral:rRNA from 1 species
CCUGCUACGGGUGAGGCUCUGGGUCACCUCCCACCCGUGUUUAUCGUACCUUGUUGCUUCGGCGGGCCCGCCGCAAGGCCGCCGGGGGGCAUCUGCCCUCUGGCCCGCGCCCGCCGAAGACACCAUUGAACGCUGUCUGAAGAUUGCAGUCUGAGCAAUUAGUUAAAUAACUUAAAACUUUCAACAACGGAUCUCUUGGUUCCGGCAUCGAUGAAGAACGCAGCGAAAUGCGAUACGUAAUGUGAAUUGCAGAAUUCAGUGAAUCAUCGAGUCUUUGAACGCACAUUGCGCCCCCUGGUAUUCCGGGGGGCAUGCCUGUCCGAGCGUCAUUGCUGCCCUCAAGCACGGCUUGUGUGUUGGGCUCCGUCCUCCUUCCGGGGGACGGGCCCGAAAGGCAGCGGCGGCACCGCGUCCGGUCCUCGAGCGUAUGGGGCUUCGUCACCCGCUCUGCAGGCCCGGCCGGCGCUUGCCGACACAUCAAUCUUUUUUCCAGGUUGACCUCGGAUCAGGUAGGGAUACCCGCUGAACUUAAGCAUAUGAAAACUCGGG